ensembl:lncRNA
UAAAUACUCAACUCUGUCAUCAAAAGUCUUGUAGAAAUAUGAAAGUUUUCUGCUGGUGGUUUUGGUCUCUAUGUUAAUUCUAUAAUUUGUUGUUGUUGUUGUUAAGAAAUAUGGAUGGUGUGAAAACCUAUCUGAACUGCUCUGAUAGAAACUCAAGCAACGAGCAGUACAAGUCAGCUCCACACAAGGAUAUCCUGAUGAAGCUCUCCUGACUUCUAGGAGCAGAUGUUAUGGAGGUGUGGUGGCAUGUGCCUGUGGUCCCAGCUACUCAGGAGGCUGAGGCAAAAGAAUUGCUUAAACCCGGGAGGCAGAGGUUGCAGUGAGUUGAAAUCCCACGACUGCACUCCAGCCUGGAAGACAAAGCAAGACUGCAUCUCAAAAUAGGUAAAAAAUAUAUAAGGUAUUUGCAUAGCAUUUCACAGACUUAAAUGAAAUAUUGGUUGGCUGUUUGUUAUUUUCUUCCCUUAUUCCUUCCUGUCUCUGCUGUUAAGCACAAUUAUAGCCAUAAAAGAGGUUUUUAAUACCUAUUUUUAGAUUGUAUUCCAACCUGGGCAAUAGAGCAGACUCCUGUUCUCUCCCUCUUUCUUUCUUUCUAAUAAAAAUAAAUAAAUAAAUAAUCAAUCUAUUAAGGAUGAGUGUGGUGUCAAGAAAAAAAAAAUCUGAAAAAAAAAAAAAAAAAAAGAAACCUGGUUUUAAAUGCUGCUCAUUUUUUACUUCAUAAUCUUCAAAUUAUUGAAGUAAUUUGAAGUUACUGGUUUCUGUUAAAUUUUGAGGCUUUCCCUCUGUGUGCGCUUUCUUGGAGAGGCCCAGCCUCUAUACUGUUUUUCAAUAGGAGUGGUGUUCUGGUUCAAGCAGGCCCAUAGUGUCCAGGUCUAAGGAUUCCAAAGAGUUCAGAAAAGAAUUCAAGCAAUGGGCUGUAUAUAUGUGCAUAGCUUCCAAUUUAUAAAUAUAGUCAGAGGACUGUAAAGCCAACCCAAACCCGCAUAGAAGGAUGGAGCUGUAGGUUGCUUCUCCAGCAACCAUACGAGAAAAUAAAAAAAAUGACAGUUGAGUGUUUGGAAAGAAUGUGAGCUUUGGAGCAAGGCAGUGUGGAUGUGAAUCUCAUGUACUAGUUGUGUUGUCUUAGGCAUGUCAUUUAACCUCACUGAGCCUUGGUUUUUCUUUAUAAAAUGGGGUUAAUAGAAACUUUCUAACGCUAACUUAUUGUUAGCAUAGAGAUAAUGUUUGUAGAAUGCUUUGCACAUGGUAGGCUCUUAGGAAAUAGUAGUUACAAUUUGGGGGUUUCUGUCAAGAGUGGUGUGAUGGACGCUAAUGCUCCACCCAGGUCCCUACUAGGGGUCCUGUUGACAGUGAUCAGCAUUCAGUAACUGCUCAAGAGAAGUUUAUAAUAGGCUUGGCUAUCUUGGCUUAACUUGAAAAAAUUAAAAAAAAAAUAAAUAAUGGCAUAGAUUUUUGUUUAUUGAUGAUUAUACUAAAUAAUUCAUUUCCUAUAGUUUUGCUGCACAUUAAUUAAUAUAAAAUAUUAUUAACUUUUAUACUAUUAUUAUUGAGUUGGCAAAGUUAUUCGUAUUAUGGGAAAAGAUUAUCAGACACUUUAGCCCAGUGUCAUAAAAAAUUUGGAUUUUCGUUCUGAUUCUGGGCUCAUGAAGCAACCUUCUGUCACUAACUGUCAUCCUACAUAGGCUUGCCUUAAGGGAAGAAUUGCUCUGAUAAGACCAGUUAGUUUCUAAGGAAACUCUAUUUUAAUACAUAAACCAAUAGUUUGCUUUUAUACAUCAAACUUGUGAUUUUGGCAAAUGAAUGCUGCUUUUUUGUCCAAAUCCUAGAGGUAGGACAUGCUAUGAUAUAUAUAAACCCUGGGACCUUGUGGGAGCAUUUAAAUGGCCGAAGCAUCAAAGAAAUCUUCUGAGGAAUGUUUAAGAAUUAACCAGGUCAAGGAGAAAAUGAAGUUCUCACUGCCAAGAUAGUGCAGGGCAAACAGAAAGCUUAAGGUGUCAAGAUAUAUAAACAGAAUGGGGAUAAUGGGGAUAAGGGUCGUGUUAUGUGAAGGGACUACACGUACUUCAGGGUUGCCAAAAGAAGAGUUAAAGGCAGAUACUUUUAAGAGACUGGGCAAAAAGUCUGGCUGGGUCAGUAUUUAAUUGUAUCCCCCCAAAAAUUCAUGUGCUGAAAUACUAACCCCUAGGACCUCAGAGUGGGACGUUGAUUGGAGAUAGAGUCUUUACUGAGAUAACCAAAUUUAUGUCAAAUUAGAGUGGGUUCAAAUUCAACAUGACUGAUGUCCUUAUAAAAAGGGGAAAUUUGGGCACAGACGUAUAUAGAGGCAGGGUGAUUUGAAGACACACAGGGAAAGGUGACCAUCUUUCUUCCAGGCUAAGCAAAGCGGCCUGGAACAGAUCCUUUCCUCAUAGUCCUCAGAAGGAAUCAAUCCUUCCAAUACAUUGAUUUUAGGCUUUUCACCUCCAUAACUGUGAGUUAACACAUUUCUGUUGUCCAAGCCACCAAAUCUGUGAUACUUUGUUACGGCAACUUAGCAGACAGAUACAGCCAGCUUUUAAACAUCUGUAUGUUUCUGCUAAUGAGCUUAUACCUUCUUUGCAUAACAGGGAAAUACUGAAGUUUUUUUUAAGGUGUGAUAUGAAUAGACUUGGUGUUUGUGUGUGUGUGUGUGUGUGUGUGUGUGUGUGUGUGAGAGAGAGAGAGAGAGAGAGAGAGAUAUGAGGAGACUUGGUGUUUGUAUGCAUUAGUGUGUUUGUGUAUGUGUUUAUAGAUCAUUAUGAUAGCCCUGUGGAAGAUGGAUUCAUGGAGACUACAUAUUCAAGUCAAGGACAUCAGUUAAGAAAUUAUUAUGUUAGUUCAAGUGAGUUAUUACUAUGUUUUAACAUUUUAAUAUCAGAAGUGAUAUUUGUUUACAAAGGUAGUGGAAUGGACUGCAAAUAGGCUAGCACUGGAGCCAGACUCUCAGGGUAUGUAUUCUACCUCUGCCACUUGCUAGCUGUGUGACCUUGAGCAAAGUACUUAGCUAUCUUGAUCUUGAUCGCAUUUCUUUACAGUUUGUCUGUCCACUAAAGCCAAUAAAGUUUCUAAAUCAUAA